UCUCCCCAGUACUCUCUCCUCUCCUCUCCACUCACUCAACCUCUCUCGCCCCUCUCCCGGUCUCCCCUCCCCCGCCGCAUCCGCUGCACGUGACCACAAGCUCCUGCCGCAACCGCGCGACUCUGCCCGCCGACCACCGCAUCCGUCGCAUGCAUCGGCGGUUGCCGCACGAUGAAGGUCACGGCUGGUCCCGCGACGACCUCGGCUGGAGGAGGACGAUAGGUCCAUAGCGACGGACGCUCAAGUAAGAGGAGCGGCCCAAUGGCGGCGGCCUCGAGCACGGGGAUAAGUGCAGGCUGGGGAUGCAGGAGAGGUGUAGCGCGGGGUUUGGAGCUCCCACGAGCUGGGUGAGGCGCAUCCGACGGCGACAGACACAGGGACGCGUUGAUCCGGGUGUGGGUGCUCAAUUCGGUCCCGUUCUGGCCGGAUCCGCGGCGGUGCUCAUCUCCGGCGAGGUGGCAUGUGACUCGCGGGACGGCGGAGGCGCAAGACCAAAUGAGGGGCUCAUCUCAUGGGACAGGGGCGCGAGGUCUUGUUAGCUUCGGUUGCCGGUGGCUUGACGCAGGGGUGGCCGGGGUCCGGCGCCAUGGAGGCUCUUUGAGGACGAGGAAGCAGACAGCGACGACAACUUUGAGGCCGGCGGGGGUGCCGUCUCCGCGUUCGAUGAUCGGGGUCCAACGCGGCCGCCGUUGGCUCCAUCCCCUACAGUUAUCAUGCGGAUAAGAGAACCAAAAACUACCACAUUGAUAUCUGCUUCAGGAAAAAUGGUUUGCACUGGAGCAAAAAGUGAACAGCAAUGUAAACUCGCAGCUAGAAAGGUCAAAUAUUUGACGAUGUUUUCUUCUCCCAACCUGGCAAGGAGUAAGAAGUCAGUUGGAGUGAGAAGUGAGACAAGUACCAUGAGCUCAAGUGAUUCAUUCACCAAGCUGGUAAACGCAUAAACUUCAAAAAAAUCAUCUCAAUAAGUUUUGGUUGGGUGAUAGCUUGCAAGAUCUUCAUAUUCUACAUAGAAGGUGCAGUGUGAUGUGAUGCAUAUGGAACUGGUAUUACUUUGCAGUAUGGAACUGGCGGUGGGUGUAUGAAAUGUGAUGGCUGUAACAUUAUACCUAAUUUCUUAUCAGUUCAUGAUAUGGCUGUUUGAAAUGUGAUACCUGGCCAUGAGUGUCUCUGGCGCGGGAUCCUGGACGGCGGUGGCUGGUGAAAGGGAUAGCCGGAUCCUGGACGUCUUCGGUGACAGGUCCUGAAAGGGAUCGGCGCCGGAUCCUGAAAGCGUUCGGCGGAGGGUCCUCAACUGGACAUGCACUGGAUCAGUGGAGGCCGGAUCAGUGGAGACCAGCGGCGGAUCAGUGCUAGGGCGGCAGCGAAGGGAUGGAGCGGCGGCGGUGAAGGGAUGAAGAGCGGCGGCGGGCGAAUGAGGGCACAGACUCGGGCGCCUGUUUCUCGCUCGAGUGCACGAGACCUCGCUCAUGGGUGCGAAGGGUGGUUAGGCGCGUGGGGGCGGAUGUGGGACUCGGCCCUGAGGAUUUUUCUUGGUUCAUCGCGGCUGAGCGGGAGGUGGGAGCAGGUACCAAAAAAGAUCGGGUGAGGUGGGACGAAAAUUAAAUCCGGAAUGCGACCUACCAACUGAGACAUUAGGAGUAGAGAUGUCUGAGUUGGUUGAAUAGUACGGUUUAUUUUCGUCUCAUCAUUUUCAAUCGUUUUAUUUCACUGGUUUUUUUCUUCUCCUCUUCCCAUCCGCCGGUUUACUUUCGCGUCACCCUCUCACAUAACGAAAAAAAUUUGAACGGGUCAGAACUUUCUAUGAUGGCGCAAGUUUUUCUACUCCUAGUGUCUGAGUUGAUUGAAUAGUACGGUUUAUUUUUGUCCCACAAUUUUCAACCAUUUUAUUUCACUAGUUUUUUUCGUCUCCUCUUUCCAUCCCAUCAGUUUACUUUCGCGUCACCCUCUCACAUAACGAAAUAAAUCUGAACGGAUCAGAACUUUCCAUGAUGGCGCAAGUUUAUUUAGUGAUGUCUUUAUGUGAGCAAUCACAAUCAAUGUCUAAAGAUUAAAUCUAAAUUAAUUAAUGAUAUGUCACCAACGUAUUUAUAAUUUUUUAUUGCUCCAUGCUAUAUUAUCUACUGUUUUGGACUAUAU